rnacentral:tRNA from 1 species
GGGGUCGUAGUUCAGAUGGCUAGAACACUGCAUUCGCAUUGCAGAGGUCGUGGGUUCGAUUCCCGCCGACUCCA